GGUUGUGGCUCAGCGGUAGAAUGCUUGCCUAGCACAUGCAAGGUGCUGGGUUCGAUCCUCAGCACCA
rnacentral:tRNA from 1 species